GCCCGGAUGGCGAAAUGGUAGACGCACGAGACUUAAAAUCUUGUUUCCGAAAGGAAGUGUGGGUUCGAGUCCCACUCCGGGUACC
rnacentral:tRNA from 1 species